rnacentral:rRNA from 1 species
CACGUAGGGGGCGAGCGUUGUCCGGAUUUAUUGGGCGUAAAGAGCUCGUAGGCGGCUCGGUAAGUCAGGUGUGAAACCUCCAGGCUCAACCUGGAGACGCCACCUGAUACUGCCGUGGCUAGAGUCCGGUAGAGGAGCGUAGAAUUCCUGGUGUAGCGGUGAAAUGCGCAGAUAUCAGGAGGAAUACCAGCGGCGAAGGCGGCGCUCUGGGCCGGUACUGACGCUGAGGGGCGAAAGCGUGGGGAGCAAACAGG